GCCAGGGGUCAGUGGGUUACGGUCAGUGGGGCUAAGGCUAGCAGUUUUGUUUGGGGCUAAGGCUAGCAGUUUUGAGGGUUAAGGUUUAGGGGCUAGUUUGGGGUCAGUUGCAGCUAGGUAUAUAGAUAAAAACGAGUUUCACCCUCAUUAAUUCCACCCUCGUUAGCAUAUGCGAUCUGAUUGGCCAAAGCUUACCUGUCCGUAUCUUUUGAAGCGUAGGUCCGAUGUGCACAUAACUGGUAUCGUUGGAUUCAGAAGGCGGCCUUCUUUCAGGUAGCGUGGAUCUAUGGAAGAAAGGAUGUCGUUUUCAAAUCCAAUGUGACCGUACAUCAGUCUAAAGCGUGACAAAAAGGAAGCCAGUCAUCGAUAAAAACAAGAAAUACAUCCAAACGAAAUAACCCGUGAAAUCAUUUGUCUUUUUAGGAACAAGGUAUCACUAGCCUGAAUAAAAAUAGUUUUCCAGCCAGUUCGUGUGCGUCUGUGUGUUUUGACUGCAUAUG